CCUACGGGGUGCAGCAGUGAGGAAUAUUGGUCAAUGGCCAGAAGGCUGAACCAGCCAUGCCGCGUGAAGGUCAGUGCCCUAUGGGCGUUAAACUUCUUUUGUGCGGGAGCAAUAAUGGUCACGUGUGGCCAGACGAGAGUACCGUACGAAUAAGCAUCGGCUAACUCCGUGCCAGCAGCCGCGGUAAUACGGGGGAUGCAAGCGUUAUCCGGAUUUAUUGGGUUUAAAGGGUGCGUAGGCUGUGAGGUAAGUCAGCGGUGAAAUGCCCCCGCUCAACGGGGUGAAGUGCCAUUGAUACUGCCUGGCUGGAAUGCGGAUGCCGUGGGAGGAAUGUGUGGUGUAGCGGUGAAAUGCAUAGAUAUCACACAGAACACCGAUUGCGAAGGCAUCUCACGAAUCCGCGAUUGACGCUGAUGCACGAAAGCGUGGGUAUCAAACAGGAUUAGAUACCCGAGUAGUC
rnacentral:rRNA from 1 species